rnacentral:lncRNA from 1 species
UAACAAAAUUAACUUUAUUAAAGAUAUAACAAGCACUUAUCAAAUCAUGUAUAUAUAGUGCAUAAAUUAUAUAAUGUACAUUUGUCAGUUGUAUAAAGUUAUAUCAAAAUUUUGAUUUUAUACAUGGUAUUUAUAAACAUGAUUAUAUCAAAAUUAUAUUUAAUAAUUUGCAAGUUUUAAUUUUUAAAUUUAAGUCUCAACUAUAUUAUAUCAAAAACAAUACAUUUUUUGUACCAUCAAGACAAAGUGAGAAAGUAGGUUACAACAUGGAAAUUGUUAGAAUUGGAAUGUUAUUAAAAAUACACUCUUCAUUGAACCAAAACAUUUAAAGGAAUUUAAAUAUACAGCUGACUUCUUAAAAAGUCAAUGUCAUACUGGUAUUAUCUUCCAAAAAAGUCAAAAUAUUUCUACUUCAUUCUUUAAUAUUAGUAAUAGACUACAUAUGUUAUACUGUACUACUGACAGGUGUAUCUAAGUACAUACAAACUAUUUAAUGGUAAAUGUUAAAUUGAUAUAUAAAAUUACAAAGUAGUACAAAAAUAUAGUGUAUCACAAAUAUUAUCACUUUGUAGUGUGUGUAUACAAUAUAAUGGUUCAUCAAUGAAAGCACUAAUCACAAUAACAUAUCCACCAAGUGAUAAUAUACAGUUUAAAGCAAUGUUAUAGUUAUUUGGUAGAUAUUAUGAGAAUUUAAACUAUUAGCUCCAAAGAUCAUGUAUCAUUCACCUGGAGUUGGUUUCACCAAAAAAAUGAUGACCAAGAUUGUCUUAGGUGAAUUGAAUUGUUCAUGACUUUUGAUUAAUCUUAAUCUUAAGUUUUUUUUGUGAAACGACUCCUGUCUUAAAUAGUACAGCCUAAUGGGUUCUAUUUAAAUCAAGGUUAUUUCCAAAAUAAUAAUAUUUGGACAUAUCACACAAUUAUGCUCUUCAACUUUGUACUUGUUUGGCUUUAUAACUAUUUUGAUCUGAGCGUCACUGAUGAGUCUUAUGUAGACGAAAUGUGCGUCUGGCGUAUUAAAUUAUAAUCCUGGUACCUUUGAUAACUAAUUAUAUAUAUAAUACUGUCUCAAAUAGAAGAUAAUAUUUCUUAAGGGCUUAGAAACAGAAAGUAUUUGUAUACAAAUAGUGGGGAUUCCCUAUACGAAUGUCGAAUGGUCAUCUUUUAAGUACAUGACUGUAUAGAAAAAAAAGUCAGUGGAUGACCCAGAAAUUUUCAUAAGAGAGGGCCCACUGACUGCCUAGAAAAAAAAGAUGAAAUGAAAGAAUGAAAUUGAAGGCAUCAUAAACAAAGAUGUGCAGUCAAUACAUAUAUAAACAUGGAUGAACUCAACAAAAAUGUGUUUUCUUUUAACAAUGAUGAAAAGAUCAGCAGCAAUAAAUAUAAUAAACAUAGUAAACAUAGUAACAAAAUAAUGACAGUAAUUGACAUAAUGUACACACUAAUCUCAUACACAACCAAGAAUAACAUUUCAAGCAAUAGAAACAAUGAACACAUAGAUCAGAGAGAUCAGCUGCAGGUUAAUAGUUUAUGUGUUCUUUGUUUAUAUAUUUGUAUUAAGGUUUUCUACUCCUCUUUAAAAAAAAAAAAGGUAUACUCUGGGGCAUAUUUAUCUGGUCAUGGACCCUAAGACUCAUCAUGAUUAUAUAAAAUAUUAAUCAAGGCUUUAAAGUAAGAGUAGCACAAAUUCAAGAUAUUGCAAUAUUAUACAUUUUCGCAGUAAAGAAUGAAUUAUUUUUUCAUCAAAAUAUACUGCUGUUUUAUUGCUUUUCCCAAUAAAACAAAACUAUGAUCUCUAUUUGUGAUGCACACCAUUUAAUAGAUUAUAUAUGAUAUUUUUCUGUUAAUAAGUCACAAGACUGCAGUUUUCACUACAUAUCUGUUUGUAAAACUUAAAAGAUGAAACAUCAGGUUCAACUAUGAAACUUAUUAAUUGAUAUAUAUUUUUUUUCUAUAAGUUGAAAAUCUUUUUUCAUAGUUGUUGGGGAAAAUUUUGAUGUUUGUCUAAUACAUGAACCAAUCUGAUCGAAAACUACUUUCUCCUGGUUUUUUUUGGUGACAUUACAUAUAUAUAAAGAUCAAUGCAGUUAUUUAGUAUAUCUAAACCUAAAAAAACAUGAACAAAUAUAUUUAGUCUGGAAUAAUAAGGACUCCACAAUACAAAGUAUAUUCUGUUAAUAAAAAAAGAUACAAAAUCACACAAAUAUUGUAUUAAAGCAAGCAUUUUAUUAUAUAUUAUGGCUUGAUAGCAUGAAAAAUCUAAAUAAAUGGCAUAAGAAAAGUAUAAGAAAACCAAAAUAUCACAUUAUAUGGGUGAAUAAGAUGAAUAUCAUUGCAAAUUGAUUAAUAAUGUUUCUUAACUUUGAGCUGAUCAUUAGUAUUAUAUAUUUUAACAGAAAUGAAAACUAUAACUACAAAUCUAUAAAGAUUUUGACUGUUUUGUUGGAUUCUAUAUUGGUAUAGGUAUAACUUCAUGCAAAAUAUAAGUGCAAGUUAUAGAUUGUGUUACCCUCUUUAUCUAAAAAAUACAAGUCUUGUAAAGCAAAUUUGAAUCAAUUGAUAAUGACCAUGCUUCAUACCCUUUUAACUAGCUUAUUUGUGGAUGGUAGUAACAUUUUAACACUUGGAAGUAAGUAUCUGUAUAGUUAAAAUCAAACUUAAGUUCCUUGAAAUAUAACACCCUUUUCCAACAUACAUAUGAUGGUCAUAUCCAUGAGUAUCCUAAAUGGUGAAUAUGAACUUAUAUAUAUAUAUAAUACCCUAAUACACAGUUAUUAGCUAAGGCCUUUGUUCUUCACAAAAACAAAACCAAAGUUUAAUAAAUUCACAUCACCCUACUUCUUAACUUCUUUCCUGCCGAAUGUUGUAUAGAUUCUUUAAGUUAUUAUUGCGAACCCUAUCAUAGUUUUCCAUAGAUUCACCUGCAAGUUACCUGUCCAUUUAAACUUUUGUAAGUUCUAUUGUCCCAUUGAACAAAUACAACAGGUAUUGUUCUCUGUAUAGUUUAUUUGAUGGGACCUUUAAAUUUCUUGCAAGAGAAAUCUAUCACUCAUUGAUUAUUUUACCUGAACAAAAAAUUGAACUGUCAAUGAUAAAAAUACAUGUACAAAUAAUAAAUAAGAACUCCUGCAAAACUGCAUGUGCAUUGUAUUUAUUCAAUAUCAAUAAUACAUUUUUAAUAGUUUCAAUAUAAACACUGAUUCAAAAAUUAAAAGUUGAUUUCUGAUCAAACUUUUGUAUAAUUAACCUUAAGCUUAUAACCUAUAGGAGGGUAAGCUUGUCUAAGGGGGGAUUAGUUUGUUCAUACUUCAGUAUUUAUGAUAGUAAAAUGAAUCUCAGCCAAGUGUGCAUUGCUAUUAUUUAGUUACGUUAGUUUGCAAAAUAAAUUUCUGACAGUCAUUUUCAAGAUUUCAAAAUUAUUCAAAUGCAAAAUUAAAGCGUUUUUUUUUAUAAAUUAAUCAUGUAAUUCUAAAUAUUUUUUU